rnacentral:rRNA from 1 species
ACACGUGGGCAACCUGCCUGUAAGACUGGGAUAACACCGGGAAACCGGUGCUAAUACCGGAUAAUCCUUUUCCUCUCAUGAGGAAAAGCUGAAAGUCGGUUUACGCUGACACUUACAGAUGGGCCCGCGGCGCAUUAGCUAGUUGGUGAGGUAACGGCUCACCAAGGCGACGAUGCGUAGCCGACCUGAGAGGGUGAUCGGCCACACUGGGACUGAGACACGGCCCAGACUCCUACGGGAGGCAGCAGUAGGGAAUCUUCCGCAAUGGACGAAAGUCUGACGGAGCAACGCCGCGUGAGCGAUGAAGGCCUUCGGGUCGUAAAGCUCUGUUGUUAGGGAAGAACAAGUAUCGGAGUAACUGCCGGUACCUUGACGGUACCUAACCAGAAAGCCACGGCUAACUACGUGCCAGCAGCCGCGGUAAUACGUAGGUGGCAAGCGUUGUCCGGAAUUAUUGGGCGUAAAGCGCGCGCAGGCGGUCCUUUAAGUCUGAUGUGAAAGCCCACGGCUCAACCGUGGAGGGUCAUUGGAAACUGGGGGACUUGAGUACAGAAGAGGAAAGCGGAAUUCCACGUGUAGCGGUGAAAUGCGUAGAGAUGUGGAGGAACACCAGUGGCGAAGGCGGCUUUCUGGUCUGUACUGACGCUGAGGCGCGAAGCGUGGGGAGCAACAG